rnacentral:lncRNA from 1 species
CGCUGUAUGUAUGGCUGCUCAAAGUUUGGAAGAAUUCUACAUAAAGCUUUAGGAGAAAUGGCAGCAGAUGAUGGUACGGCCAUGGCAUUCUUCCACCUUCCCCAGCUCAUCAAGCUCUUCUAAACGAUAUUUCCUCGACCUAAAGCCAGCCUCAGCUCAUAGAGCUCCAAGCUCUUGCCGCAGCAACCUUGUUGACUGACCCCUGUCGCACUCUAGGGCACAUUCUGCUUACGAAGAUUAGUGAAACCUUAAAGGUACUUAAAAUUUACAAUUCAUUGUGGCACAACUGCCUUUUCUCGGUGGCCAGCUUGCCGCGCCGAUACCUCGCUACGGCCGCGAGACAAGAUACAAUCAUACAAUUGCAAUUUUUCAAGCCUCUCAAGGCGGACGUCGAGAAGAGCGUCCGCGAGGAGCUGCAAAAGCAACUGAUGGGGGUGCAGUUUGCAUUAGUACACAUGGAAUGAGGACAAUACAACUAGCCUGAACUCCUAUGCACUAUGCACUCACAAGCUUGCAUGAGUGUACAUCGUACAACACAACGUACCUGGACUGCAAUGCACUCAGAAGUCAUCAGCUUGAGUACUUAUGGAUGUGUAGGUAGAUUAGACAUGGCCUGACAUCUGAAGGGACAGGGUGCUUCAGUGUACAGGGGUCUGAUGCUGCAAGGCAGCAUGACACAGUACUUGAACUGUAUUCUUAAGAAGUGCUUGUUUUUAGCCCUAUAAAAAAACAGCCGCAGCUGCAACUCACUUGUUCCACCUGAGAGGGUUUAGAUUGUGUACAAAUCUAGUUUGCAUGUUUGUAGUUGGUGAGGCAAGGGUGGUUGUUGAGGCAGGGGUGUCUGGCAGGCCAUGCAGGGCAACAACAAUUUCAGUUUUGUCAUCGAAUGUGGAGUCUGAGAUGAGAGGGGUUGCAUGUUGCGAUGAGGGCAUGGUUUGAUUAAGACUGAUCUAUGAACAGUCUAUGAAAACCUUGAGAUUAAUAAGUGUUUCCUAAUUAAGGAUUGACACUCUUUCAGGGUUCCCACCCUAAUCGAACAGACACCUAAGCAGCCGUCAGGUGGUCGAUUACGUUUGGUCGAUUACGUUUGACGCUUGUGCAAGUGACGACGGC